UAUUAAAAAUUUCAUCCACUUCUAUUGUUAAAAAUUGACAUGACUGAGGAAAUAACUCAAUAGAUGCACACCACGUGUACCUCAUUCUGACGUACAUGAACCAAUUUUUAAUAGUAAAAAUGGAUUACAUUUUUAAUA
rfam:Gossypium hirsutum cultivar TM-1 chromosome 9, whole genome shotgun sequence